AGCUGUAAAAUCCUCAGCUUGGUGAAGAUGUUAAAAAUGAAUUAUUAACUAAAGUGGUGGACAGAUGGACACAGGAUUGAUCUCCUCAUCCCAUUCAACGCCUGUGGCCUUGCAAAGACCAGCCACUGAAAUACGCUCUCUCUCCUAAUAAGAUGGAAAUCCUAACACUGAUUUAGCUCCAAAUGGAGAUUUUGGGAGGGGUAGACAGCCAUGUUCUGGAAUGAACUACUCUUUUUAGGAGCAGCUUCAGAAGAAGUAAAGUUUGAAAUAUUCUGCUUGACAAAUGAAAGAAUGUUAACUACAAAAUGCUGAGAUUCACUCUGUAAUAUGCUGGAGGACAAUAUACAUCUGAUUAUCAUCAACAUAAGUUCUCUGUUGGCUUGUUCAACUGAGAGCAACUCUUGAGCACAAACACAGCAUCUGAGCAAAGUACCAAGAAGACCAUGUUUCUAAUGCAGUAAAUACAUUGACAGCUACAUUCAUGCUGGUGGCUGGUCAGAGGGAGAAGAAAAGAUAAAGCCAUGGGAGGAGACCUGGGUGGCUUCCAGGCAAUGCUUCCUUA